AGAGUUUGAUCCUGGCUCAGAUUGAACGCUGGCGGCAGGCCUAACACAUGCAAGUCGAGCGGUAGAGAGAAGCUUGCUUCUCUUGAGAGCGGCGGACGGGUGAGUAAUGCCUAGGAAUCUGCCUGGUAGUGGGGGAUAACGUUCGGAAACGGACGCUAAUACCGCAUACGUCCUACGGGAGAAAGCAGGGGACCUUCGGGCCUUGCGCUAUCAGAUGAGCCUAGGUCGGAUUAGCUAGUUGGUGAGGUAAUGGCUCACCAAGGCGACGAUCCGUAACUGGUCUGAGAGGAUGAUCAGUCACACUGGAACUGAGACACGGUCCAGACUCCUACGGGAGGCAGCAGUGGGGAAUAUUGGACAAUGGGCGAAAGCCUGAUCCAGCCAUGCCGCGUGUGUGAAGAAGGUCUUCGGAUUGUAAAGCACUUUAAGUUGGGAGGAAGGGUUGUAGAUUAAUACUCUGCAAUUUUGACGUUACCGACAGAAUAAGCACCGGCUAACUCUGUGCCAGCAGCCGCGGUAAUACAGAGGGUGCAAGCGUUAAUCGGAAUUACUGGGCGUAAAGCGCGCGUAGGUGGUUUGUUAAGUUGGAUGUGAAAUCCCCGGGCUCAACCUGGGAACUGCAUUCAAAACUGACUGACUAGAGUAUGGUAGAGGGUGGUGGAAUUUCCUGUGUAGCGGUGAAAUGCGUAGAUAUAGGAAGGAACACCAGUGGCGAAGGCGACCACCUGGACUAAUACUGACACUGAGGUGCGAAAGCGUGGGGAGCAAACAGGAUUAGAUACCCUGGUAGUCCACGCCGUAAACGAUGUCAACUAGCCGUUGGAAGCCUUGAGCUUUUAGUGGCGCAGCUAACGCAUUAAGUUGACCGCCUGGGGAGUACGGCCGCAAGGUUAAAACUCAAAUGAAUUGACGGGGGCCCGCACAAGCGGUGGAGCAUGUGGUUUAAUUCGAAGCAACGCGAAGAACCUUACCAGGCCUUGACAUCCAAUGAACUUUCUAGAGAUAGAUUGGUGCCUUCGGGAACAUUGAGACAGGUGCUGCAUGGCUGUCUGUCGUCAGCUCGUGUCGUGAGAUGUUGGGUUAAGUCCCGUAACGAGCGCAACCCUUGUCCUUAGUUACCAGCACGUAAUGGUGGGCACUCUAAGGAGACUGCCGGUGACAAACCGGAGGAAGGUGGGGAUGACGUCAAGUCAUCAUGGCCCUUACGGCCUGGGCUACACACGUGCUACAAUGGUCGGUACAGAGGGUUGCCAAGCCGCGAGGUGGAGCUAAUCCCAUAAAACCGAUCGUAGUCCGGAUCGCAGUCUGCAACUCGACUGCGUGAAGUCGGAAUCGCUAGUAAUCGCGAAUCAGAAUGUCGCGGUGAAUACGUUCCCGGGCCUUGUACACACCGCCCGUCACACCAUGGGAGUGGGUUGCACCAGAAGUAGCUAGUCUAACCUUCGGGAGGACGGUUACCACGGUGUGAUUCAUGACUGGGGUGAAGUCGUAACAAGGUAGCC
rnacentral:rRNA from 1 species